AUUAAGCUAUUCUUCCUAGAAGCAACAGACUUGGCAAACAUUUCUGCACACUCAUUAGCCUACCUAGGAACAUAACAACCUUCCAACAGAUAAGAUACUCAAAACAUGCAGAAAUAGAGCUAACACACACAAAAUCUCCAUGACACAGAGGCAUCAGGCUUAAACCAAUAAACAACAUUUUUGGCAAUCCGAUCCACUUGGUCCUUGGAAUUCAGAAAAAUUAUGGUGGCUUCUUUUACAGCCAGCAACUCAUCAAGAACAGGAUCAGAUAGUUUUAGCGGGAUAGAGAAACGAGCAAACACUUCCCAACACCAUCUUGCAGAAUACUGAUAUUUCAAUGAAGUCUUUGCCUCA